GAGGAUUUAGCUCAGUCGGUAGAGCAGUUGGCUGUUAACCAGCUUGUCACAGGUUCGAAUCCUGUAAUCCUCG
rnacentral:tRNA from 1 species